rnacentral:misc_RNA from 1 species
GAUGAAGAACGUAGUGAAAUGCGAUAAGUAAUGUGAAUUGCAGAAUUCAGUGAAUCAUCGAAUCUUUGAACGCACAUUGCGCCCGCCAGUAUUCUGGCGAGCAUGCCUGUUCGAGCGUCAUUUCAACCAUCAAGCCCCAGGCUUGUGUUGGAGCCCUGCGGCUGCCGCAGCCUCCCAAAACCAGUGGCGGGCUCGCUAUCACACCGAGUGCAGUAGUUUACUCUUCGCUCAGGGCGUGUGGCGGGUGCUAGCCGUGAAACCCCCAACUUCUCAAGGUUGACCUCCGAUCAGGUAGGAAUACCCGCUGAACUUAAGCAUAUCAAUAAGCGGAGGA